CGAGGUGCUUGCCGCAUCAAACAGGCCAAGGCCAAACAGAAUUAUUGGUGUGCUGCAAUGUUGAAAACAACAUUUUUCUUACUGAGAAGAGUACCCCUGUAAUGAAAAUAGAAGAACUUGGGCUGAUGAAAUAGUGUAUGUUAUGAAAAAUUGCUAUUAGGAAAAAAAGGCAAGUAUAAUCUGAUAUGCCACAAAAUUUCCUUGACACAUGGAGGGGAGCAAAAUGCACAGUACAAAAGCAGCCAGAACCCAUUGUGGCACUGUGGGAGAACUAAAAAGAGGCUGGCAGAGCUGGUCAGAGGAUCAUGUUGAUUAUCAGAGACGGAACCCGUUCAGCAGUGACAAGCCACUAACUUUAUGCACUGGGAGAGGAGACCCAGCUUAUGGCCGUCCCCCUGAAGGCUCCAAAACAGAGCAGAGAGGAAAAGAUGCUCACACACACAUAAGCAAAGAAGUGGAAGAAUUAUGCUUGGUCAUAAGUAGUGUUGGAGAGCGGGGGCAAGAUGGCUAUGUGAGAAUAACGUUUAAACAUCUAUUUGACAGAUACGUGACUAUAUCCAAUAAAGUAGUAGGUGUCUUACUGAGAGCAAGGAAGCAUGGCCUAGUUGAUUUUGAAGGUGAAAUGCUUUGGCAAGGAAAAGAUGAUGAUGUAGUUAUCACCUUACUUGAAUAAGAUGGUUGGAUAAAUAUUAUUGCAUGAUACAUUUGGGAAUAUUUUAAAGGCCUGGAACAACAAUUUUGGCUGGCCAAGACCUAGUUCCGAAAAUGCUAUCAGAUGGGAACAUGUUAAACAAAAGUGAAAUACUGCUCAUUAAUUUAGGCCUCUGCCAAUGCAUUAUCUAGUGUCUUCCCCAGCCUUCUAUAUAUUGCAAGUGAUAAUCUGCAAGUACUGAGCUGGAAACAUGUAAGGUGGAAAACAAAUGGAUGUGUUUCAGAUGAGUCAUGGUGUUUGAAGUGUAAAUACUAACAAGUAACUGGAAGUGAUACAAACAUAUUUUAGCACUUUUAGAGGCUGACUGUUCUUAUAGCACUGAUGUGAAUAAAGGAUAAUUAAGAAAUGCAUUAACUGUGAAAUUAAUGACAAAAUAAGAUCCUUUAAAAUUACAAGCCACAACAUAGAAGUAGGCAAGUGUAAUCA